GCUGUGCUGCGUGGAUGUGAUGGGUCAGUCUCGCCGUCGAACCCCAUCCCCCGUGCUCGCGACCGCACGCUAGCCGCCGCCCCAUCUUCGUCUGCUCCGGUGCUCCCCUUCCAACUCCGACGCCAAGGAAGCGAGGGCUUCCCGUCGGCCGCUCGCUCGUAGCCUGUACCCGUCCAGCGCGCUUGGAGAGGGAAGUUUGGCGAGGGUUUCGUCUGCGGGCACGCGGUGGGCGGAGGACUUCGGAUCUGCCAGCACCCAGUAACGGAGGAGUCCUCCCGCUCUCCCUCUUCCCCGCGGUUGCCGGCGGCCGGCGCUUCCGGCUGUCGCGAAUUGAGUGCCCGCCACCUGUUCGACGGAAUGCUCGAGAUGGCUGCUGCGAGUGACCGAGACCCUUUUGGAGACCUCCCUGGAGAGCUCCAAUGGCGUGUCCUGUCCUUCCUGCCGGCGGACAAUGCCCUGCAGACCUGCGUGCUGGACACCCGCUGGCGCGACCUCUGGAGGCACGCGACCAGCCUGCUAUUUGUCUUCGACGGGCCAACCUUCCCGCGAUACAACCGUUCGAUUUGAGAUCGAUGCCUAUCCCGACGAUGAGCCAGAGGACACGUUCACAAACACCAGGCUGUUGAUUGACUAUGCUCUAGCAUGCAAAGCUGAGGAGCUCGUGGUAAGAGCUGCUGAUGUUCAAUAUGACCAACCAGUGUUCGAUGUGCCUCUCAGUCUCAUCUCCCAACACCUCAGGACCAUACACCUUGAACGGGUGAACCUUGACUGCUCUGACCUGAAGUUCUCAGGCUGCCCAGUCUUAGAGGAUCUAAGGGCGUGUACAAUGGUGGCAUAUGGAUACAUAUGCCCCAUAAUAAAAAGUAAUUUGAGGCAUCUACGUUUAUUUUUUCUCCUUAAUGCAAGCUACCAUUAGUGGGCCUCAUUAAAAAAUAGAAAAAUAAAGACUCUAGUACACAUGCAUCUCUACUUUUUACUCCAACCUUUUCAGCUUUUGUUGCCGGACCACACAUUUUCUCUUCAAGCACCCGCCUCCUGGAGAGGAUCCCGCUUUCCUAUCCGAACCUACUUUACGUCAUAUCUGAUCCUACAUAUCAUGCGAGGCAUCACCUUGAGGCUAUGCAUUGUACAUGCCCUAACAAUUCAAUUCUGCAAUAUCCAUGCACGCAAGAUGUCAUCCAAAUCAAUAAAGCGCCUAUACAUCAUCGACUGUUGUUCUUUACCUGACAUCAUGUGCCUUCGGAUUUGUGCCCCGAGUCUUAUCUCACUGCGCUAGAGGAUUUUGAAGGCUUGACACCUUUUCUUGAAAACAUGCCAUUGCUACAAACAACUCAUGUUAACCUUGAUGAUGGAUGCCAUGAUCAUUGUCGCAGUAAUCGGGGGGUUUGUGAUAAUUUUGUCUGUGGUUGUCAUACUUAUCCUGUCAAGGAGGGGGUGCUUCUCAAUGGUUUGUCCAAUGCUGCCAAGUUGGACUUGAUAGCUUUACCUAAAAUGUUUCUCUACAGAUGGGAUUUGAAAUGGUGCCCCGUCUUUGGCAAAUUAAAGACUCUGUUACUCAAUAAAUGGUUUACGGCUAUUGACCUAGUUUGCAUUCUCCAACACUCUCCAGUUCUUGAGAUGCUCACUCUUCGGUUCGAUAACACUAAGGUAGAUUCGGCAUACUUCGUGACCAAAUUAGCAUCAAGGAGGAUCCACGUCCGGACUCAGAUUGUAAGUUACCCUUCCUACCUAUUCUAACAUGUCUGAUAUAAUAAUUAGGAUGUCUGAUACCACCCCCAAAUCCAUCCAGAUUUUGUAUCCAUUAUCCUUUUGUAUUAAUUGGAUUUGAAUGCUGAUGGAGUUUAGAAUGGCUAUUGUAUUUCAACACAGUUUAUUAUUCUGUAAUUUCUGAUGACACUACAAUAAUUAGCACAAAUUUCUGAUGUGUCUAGAUCUGUACCAGCCAUGCAAAAUAUUUUUAUUAUUCUCUUCUCUUUUUUUUUCAGUUCAAUAAAUUAUCUAAUCCUUUUACUGUUUGGUUGGUGAUGAAAAUAGUAGCUGUAAUCAUCUUGAAUUCCGUAAUUGUUGGUGACACUACAAUAGUUAGCACACAUUUCUGGUGUGCUUAUAGAUCUAUACCAUCCAUGCAAAAUCAUUUUUUUAAUUCUCUGCUCUUCUUUUCAGUUCAAGUACUUAUCUUAUCCUUUUACUGUUUAAUUACUAAUGACAAUAGUGGCUGUUCUCAUCUUGAAAUCCAGUUUAACUUUUCUCUCAUGUUCCAUUUGGUGGAAUACAUUAACCAAGAAUAGAUACUGGUUAGAAUGUACUCCCUCCGCCCAACAUAGCUUGCAAAAAGAUCUUAUAUUAUGGGGCGGAGGGAGUAUAAUAUAGUGCUCUGCAUCCAUCCAGCAAGGAUGGCCUUUGCAUCACUUUAUUUACAGUUGCUCGAGGCCCGAGCCAAUUGUCAGUCUGAUUAACAGAGACUGAUAGCGUAAUGGCAUACAUUCCACACUUGUUUAAGCCUCAAGCAGUCUCGAGGCCUCUCUGUAUGGUCAUAUUUGCGUUGGUGUUGCCCUUACAAGGCUCUCUGUUAACAACUACAGAAAUUUGGUCAGGCUGUAGUAUAAUUCCUCUACAUCAAACCGCUACCCAGGAUAUUUGAAAUUCUCUUCUAUGUUUGUGACUUGCCUUGUUUGUGCAGAUUCGUCUGCUGAUAGUGACUCCACUGAUAGCGACUAAGAUGUGUGGUCGGUCAUGAUGUUCGCCUGAAGACUUAUGUUUCUCUGUAAAGAAUCUGCAAUGGUGGCCAUGUGUUGGUCGUUAACCUGUGACUGUGAAGUUCUGUUUUUGCUUCCCAUCUUUGGUCUCUGCUGGAAAUCCGUCUUUGUGGUUUGUUUGGUGCAACUUAACAAGACGUUUUCCACUUUGUCAGGAAUCUGCCGGGAAUCUAAAUGAUGGUUAAAAUGUUGCUAUGUUUUUUAUAAUCUGCCGAGGAAUCUAAAUGAUGGUUACAUACAUAUUUUGUUGAUCAUCAUCAAUAUAUUACCAGUAUUGUAAAUGCAUCUCUUAUGUCCCUGUGCGUCAUCAGUAUACACCGGAACUGUACUAUUCCUUCAGAUCGAAACGAUACUGCUCUUCCCACAAUCUUCAACAUAUCAAGAGGAAACUUAGUCCGAUCUGAAGAAAUAGUCACGUUGCUGCUUGAGUGUAACCUCAGAAGAAGUUGAAGUUAAAAUUAUCAUUCCCUUUCAAUGUUUCAUCUUGGUCUUGAAGACAGGAUGGUGGUUUUGAACCUCUUGCCUCUGUCCAGUCUGAAACUUGCUGUCUUUGUUCUGAUUCUGGUCAUCUUGUGCUGAGUAUGAUGGUUUGUAAGUCU